GCAAUUAGAAUAAUCACAGCAAUAAGUCAAAGACACUUGCUGUUCAAACUUGUGACUUUUCCUUUUGGCAAUACUCCUCGGCUAUCCCAGUUGUACACACACACACACACACAAGCAUGCACAUAUUUAAUGGAGUUUUAUUUGGUAAAAGGCAAAAUGCCUGAGACUGACUUUGUGUUUUGUCUCAAGGUUAACUAAAGGGCACUGAACAAGUAAAGCUGUGCUGAAAAGAACAGUGGCCAAGGCAGGGAUAUUCUUAUACCACAAACAGUCAUGCAGAUGGAAGUCUGGCCAACAAAACCAUAAAGCAUCAUGUCUCACUGUGACUCAAUCUGUCAGCUCAAGUACAAGAUCGACUCAUGAUGGACUCAUGAGAAAUAAUUGGAGGUGGGAGGGAACAAUGUCAUCACUGACAGACUGUGCAGCAACAAUUACUUGGAGCAACAGAGAGCAACGGGACAGCAGAGACCAUAUCUCCAACCAUUGAUUGCCCUUCAGGAUGUGAACAGUGGAAUCUCCCAGCUAUACUUAGGAGUCAAAGAAUAUAUUGAAACAAAAAACCCAGGCAGAAGCAAAACAGAUGAGGACUAACUAGUUCCUGUGGAAAAGAUGCAAUUGACAAGUAAGUAGUAGAUUUUAUAGUGAAGAAUGUCUAAAAGCUUUAAAAUGUGUUAUGAAUAC
rnacentral:lncRNA from 1 species